UGGGGAAUAUUGCACAAUGGAGGGAACUCUGAUGCAGCGACGCCGCGUGAACGAAGAAGGCUUUCGAGUCGUAAAGUUCUUUUAUAUGGGAAGAUAAUGACGGUACCAUAAGAAAAAGCCCCGGCUAACUACGUGCCAGCAGCCGCGGUAAUACGUAGGGGGCUAGAGUUGUCCGGAAUCACUGGGCGUAAAGGGUUCGCAGGCGGAAAUGCAAGUCAGGUGUAAAAGGCAGUAGCUUAACUACUGUAAGCAUUUGAAACUGCAUAUCUUGAGAAGAGUAGAGGUAAGUGGAAUUUUUAGUGUAGCGGUGAAAUGCGUAGAUAUUAAAAAGAAUACCGGUGGCGAAGGCGACUUACUGAGCUCAUUCUGACGCUGAGGAACGAAAGCGUGGGUAGCAAACAGG
rnacentral:rRNA from 1 species